rnacentral:lncRNA from 1 species
CAGGGCUAAGAAAUCAUUAUGACAGGUGUACACAGACAAGUAGGUCCAUAAGGACUGCACAUCUGACUCUCCUCAGGGCAAUAUUGCAAAUGUAAGCUAUGCAUGACACCUUAAGGGGAAAGAAAUACCUUUCAAACAGCCUACCAGUGCAAUAACUGUGUGUUGCAGGAACCACUGAAUAAAUUUUCUGCAGUGAAAUUCCUCAGUGAGCUUCGAUUACAUAGGGAUAGUACUAAUCCCUACAUGUCCACACUUGACACCUUACAUUGGCAAUAUUACAUGGACCUACUAUAUAAGUUUGAAAGUCUUUCACACAUCAAGAUCCAUUAGAAUCUCUUCUCUUUGUAGGAUGAAGCAAUGAUGUUUCCUCACUCAAAGUUCAUUUAAGCUCUCAGUGUACACACAGUUAUACUAAUACCAUAGAAUGUGGUAUUCCAUCAUUGCAGUGUCCCGAAGAUGAGACCUGGCCUGGAAGGCUGUCUGGAUGGGGAACAGAACCAUUUUUGCAACAAAAUUUGGAAGAUGAGAACCUGAUGGAAACUGCAGUGCUGAUGCUACUGGGAUCACACACAGAUGCAUUCCCUUCGAGUGUGACUGUCCUGCAAAUCAGAGUGCUCAUUUUUAAUUAAAGUGCAAAAAAGAAACACUGGGAAUGAUGUUAAAUUGUUUUGAUUUGACCUAUCCUGGAUUCAUGGUUACGCCUCUUAGUUAGCAAUUUGUUACUGCAUUUAUGAAAAAGAAAGAAUUCAGGAGCUAAAACCAGAAUUUGGAACAGUUGUUUUGAUUCUGAAUAGCUGCUCUGUUUAAUCAUCCACCUCUUAUUGUCAGCAAGCAUUUUUGUGAUAAAGAUGCUGCUCAUAUAUGCACAUGAGCAAUGUCUUCUCACGGAGACUCUCUUAUUUGCCUGCAAACAUUUCUGUGGACUAUUCUUUCUUGAUUGUAUACUGUUCCUGGGAGAUUUAUUGUAGUCCUGAUUAACCAUUCUCAACCAAGCAGUCAGCAGGCAUCAGACAGCCUGCAGGAUGAACUGACCCAACACAGAAUGCAGACUGUGGAUGAAGACAUGCACAAUACU